rnacentral:rRNA from 1 species
AACGAACGCUGGCGGCAUGCCUAACACAUGCAAGUCGAACGAGACCUUCGGGUCUAGUGGCGCACGGGUGCGUAACGCGUGGGAAUCUGCCCUUGGGUUCGGAAUAACAGUUAGAAAUGACUGCUAAUACCGGAUGAUGACUUCGGUCCAAAGAUUUAUCGCCCAGGGAUGAGCCCGCGGUCGGUUUAGCUAGUUGGUAGGGUAAGGCCUACCAAGGCGACGAUCCGUAGCUGGUCUGAGAGGAUGAUCAGCCACACUGGGACUGAGACACGGCCCAGACUCCUACGGGAGGCAGCAGUGGGGAAUAUUGGACAAUGGGCGAAAGCCUGAUCCAGCAAUGCCGCGUGAGUGAUGAAGGCCUUAGGGUUGUAAAGCUCUGUUACCCGGGAUGAUAAUGACAGUACCGGGAGAAUAAGCCCCGGCUAACUCCGUGCCAGCCGCCGCCGUAA